rnacentral:rRNA from 1 species
CCUACGGGAGGCAGCAGUGAGGAAUAUUGGUCAAUGGACGAGAGUCUGAACCAGCCAAGUAGCGUGAAGGAUGACUGCCCUAUGGGUUGUAAACUUCUUUUAUAUGGGAAUAAAGUAUGCCACGUAUGCUCUUUUGUAUGUACCAUAUGAAUAAGGAUCGGCUAACUCCGUGCCAGCAUCCGCGGUAAUACGGAGGAUCCGAGCGUUAUCCGGAUUUAUUGGGUUUAAAGGGAGCGUAGGUGGAUUGUUAAGUCAGUUGUGAAAGUUUGCGGCUCAACCGUAAAAUUGCAGUUGAAACUGGCAGUCUUGAGUACAGUAGAGGUGGGCGGAAUUCGUGGUGUAGCGGUGAAAUGCUUAGAUAUCACGAAGAACUCCGAUUGCGAAGGCAGCUCACUAGACUGCAACUGACACUGAUGCUCGAAAGUGUGGGUAUCAAACAGGAUUAGAUACCCCUGUAGUC